ensembl:snoRNA small nucleolar RNA SNORA79
UGACGGCGGUUCCUCCUCCUGUCAUCAGUCUGGCAGGAGGAUUUUACGCCGUCACAGAGAAACGGGUCUGAUUCACCCAGAGCUGAACGUCAUGGUUACGCCAUGACACACACACUUCUCUGGAUUUUGCGGGACCCGACACAC